AGCGGAGGAAAAGAAACCAACAGGGAUUGCCCCAGUAACGGCGAGUGAAGCGGCAACAGCUCAAAUUUGAAAUCUGGCCCCCAGGGCCCGAGUUGUAAUUUGCAGAGGAUGCUUUUGGCGCGGUGCCUUCCGAGUUCCCUGGAACGGGACGCCAUAGAGGGUGAGAGCCCCGUCUGGUCGGACGCCUAGCCUGUGUAAAGCUCCUUCGACGAGUCGAGUAGUUUGGGAAUGCUGCUCUAAAUGGGAGGUAUAUGUCUUCUAAAGCUAAAUACCGGCCAGAGACCGAUAGCGCACAAGUAGAGUGAUCGAAAGAUGAAAAGCACUUUGAAAAGAGGGUUAAAUAGUACGUGAAAUUGUUGAAAGGGAAGCGCUUGUGACCAGACUUGGGCCCGGUGGAUCAUCCAGCGUUCUCGCUGGUGCACUCCGCCGGGUUCAGGCCAGCAUCAGUUCGCCGCGGGGGAAAAAGGCUUCGGGAACGUGGCUCCUACGGGAGUGUUAUAGCCCGUUGCAUAAUACCCUGGGGCGGACUGAGGUUCGCGCUCCGCAAGGAUGCUGGCGUAAUGGUCAUCAGCGACCCGUCUUGAAACACGGACCAAGGAGUCGUCUUCGUAUGCGAGUGUUCGGGUGUAAAACCCCUACGCGUAAUGAAAGUGAACGCAGGUGAGAGCUUCGGCGCAUCAUCGACCGAUCCUGAUGUUCUCGGAUGGAUUUGAGUAAGAGCAUACGGGGCCGGACCCGAAAGAAGGUGAACUAUGCCUGUAUAGGGUGAAGCCAGAGGAAACUCUGGUGGAGGCUCGCAGCGGUUCUGACGUGCAAAUCGAUCGUCAAAUAUGGGCAUGGGGGCGAAGACUAAUCGAACCUUUCUAGUAGCUGG
rnacentral:rRNA from 1 species